rnacentral:lncRNA from 1 species
AACUAUGAAAGUGCAAGAUACAAAUUUGUUAAUCACAAUUGAAUAAACAAUGCGUUACACCUUUGAGAUAGACCAAGUAUUAUGGAUACAUGGUGUGGCUCAUUGUCAUUUUUCUCCUUCCGCAAUUCUGGGUUUAAGUCAGAAAAUCAUUGUAGGCACGUAGAAAGGCAGGUCUUCAUCAAGCACUAUCAUGAAAAGGACAAGCUUAAAACAAGCAUUUUGUCUAUAAAAUCCCAGAUGCACAUUGAAGUUUUGCACCCAAAUAUCAAAAGAUAAACAUACCUUUAAUUAUUCGUUCCCAUUAUUCGUGCUUAAUUAUAUUCCAUGGCUCUCACAAAUCUACAAGGCCAACGCCUCUUCUCAGCCUUUCUUUUAACUUCGCCAUGCCAUGCCAUUUGCUCCACCCAAGCAUUUUGCCCCCAGCUUGAAGACCAAACCAUGCUGAAGAGGCAACAGAACUGGACGGCCCGAUUCCAGCAGGUACGUUUAUUAGGAUGCAGAAAAGAAGGAGAGGCGAUACAUGAUAUUCAAAGAUAAAGUGGACUUCAAUGAGGUGCAAAUCAUGGCCGUCAAGGUGGUCUAAUUGGGCAGUGCUUUCCAAUUCAUCCAACGCAAUGGGUCAACACUCAGAAGUCUGCAUUCCAAACACUUUCCUAAACGGGUACGUAUGUGCCAUCGCGGACCAGCCAGUUUCUGUAGUCAAUACUAGUAUAGUGUGUUCAUCAUUAUUGCCUUAGACCAUGGUGUUACCUCAGCUGGAUACAAGACUAGUAGUGAUGGACUAAGCACUGGCUUGUGAAGAAUUCUCGGCCCCUUGGGGCACAAAAUGGAGAGAGUGGAUUAUGGGGCAUUCAUGCCAGAGGAAGGACUCUAUAUAGAGGGCUUCUUGUCUAAUGGAGUGAUGGAAGAUGGAAACGAUAAAGCCACGUGGACUAGCCCCGGUGCCAAGGGUGGGUAAAGUGAUGGAUAGGAGUAUGCUCGGUACAAAAAUCCUCUAAUGUAACAAAAAAAGGGAAGAAAAGAAAAUGAUAAUGUAUAGAGUGGGUAAAUUAAGACUAGAUAGUUAACUUAAGGCUAAUUAAUAAAGCAAUCACUACUGUGAUAUUUGCCACCAGAAGAUGAGCAACGUUGCUCUUGUACCUGUUUAAUUUAUGGGAGCUGUAACAGAUCAGAACCAGCCAUGCAUACUUGA